AUUGAACGCUGGCGGCAUGCCUUACACAUGCAAGUCGAACGGCAGCACGGGUGCUUGCACCUGGUGGCGAGAGGCGAACGGGUGAGUAAUACAUCGGAACGUACCUUAUCGUGGGGGAUAACGCAGCGAAAGCUGUGCUAAUACCGCAUACGCCCUGAGGGGGAAAGCGGGGGAUCGAAAGACCUCGCGCGAUUAGAGCGGCCGAUGCCUGAUUAGCUUGUUGGUGGGGUAAAAGCCCACCAAGGCGACGAUCAGUAGCUGGUCUGAGAGGACGAUCAGCCACACUGGGACUGAGACACGGCCCAGACUCCUACGGGAGGCAGCAGUGGGGAAUUUUGGACAAUGGGGGCAACCCUGAUCCAGCAAUGCCGCGUGAGUGAAGAAGGCCUUCGGGUUGUAAAGCUCUUUUGUCAGGGAAGAAACACCGGCUCUAACACAGUCCGGGAAUGACGGUACCUGAAGAAUAAGCACCGGCCAACUACGUGCCAGCCGCCGCGGUAA
rnacentral:rRNA from 1 species